CGCUCCGCCGCCGCCGACCCCCGCUCCACUUACCUUUCGUAUCCUUGUCUCAUGAAAAAAACUUACCUUUCAUAUCCGGCAAGGACAAGGCCCCGCCCGCCGCCACCGCCUCCGCCUCGGCUAUAAAGUUCCACCCUUUGGCCGGCCCGCUCCUCCUCUCUUCGUCCGGGCAGCGCCUCUUGCCUCCUUCAUUCGUCCUCGGCCCGUCCUGGCCGCGUGGUGGUCUCCGUUCCGGUCGCCGAUUCCAAAUCCACCCGCCCGCGUGCCCUUCUCCCUCUCCGCCUGCGGGGCUCGGCCAAGUGUGGCGGGCGACCGGCGGCGGGGGCACCAGCGUCGUGCGCCAGCUGCGCGCGCUCGUCCUCGAUUCGUGCCUCUCCUCCUCUGGUGUCUGGUGAGGCGACUUGUCCUCAAUUCUUGCCUCUCCUCUCGCCUGGCUCAAUUCGUCCUCGCUCGUCCUAUGUUGCUCGUCCUCGCUCGAUUCGUCCGUUUAGAGUAGAAGAAUCGCGUAUGAUUUGUUUCAUUUUGCUCAUCCUCGAUUUGUCUAUUCUGAAGCGCGUCUAAUUUGGUUGAUUUUGCUCGUCCUCGUUGUCGGCCGUUUAGAUAGAAAAUCGCGUCCGGUUUGAUUUGCUUGUCCUCACCGUCGUCGUCCAGUCGCGUGUGAUUUGAUUCUUGCUCGUCCUCGCCGUUGUCCCGCGUGUUCUUGGGGCUGUCUCGUCGGGGGUCUCCGUCCCUGCGACUCUGGGAGGAAGCGAGAGAGCGCGGUAUUUGGGUCACCAUCUAGUUUGUCAGCUAACAAGUCUGUUUGAGAAACUUGUGCGUGUGCUUUUGUUAUCUGACGAUCCUGCGUAUCGUUUCUGUUUGAGAAAUUUGUGUGUGCGCUUCUGUUAUCUGAUGAUCCUACGUUUCGUGUUCGCGUCGGGGCGACCGUUGCAGGAAUGAUGGGUUCUGGUUUCGAAAUUGGAGCGGUGUCAAAUCGGUUCCUCUGUUCUAUCACCUGCGUUGUUCGUCGGUUAUUUUCGGGUCUCAAACGCAUGCGCCCUUGUGAUACUUUGGUUGCCCUCUGUCGAUUCUUGUUCUACCAGCAGGCGUGUGUGUUCUCAUCCUAGAUAUACCUAAUCUUGUUCUUGUCUGUUACGGUUGUUCUGAUGGUGUUCUUUUCAACUUGUUUCUUGCUAUCAUGCUUUGCUUAUGUUCCAAUAUAUGAUGAUGUGUGUUCAACUUGUUUCUUGUUAUCAUGCUUUGCUUAUGUUCCACUAUAUGACCGUGUUCAGGGGCGCAAACCAUGUAGGCCGUGGGUACCGUGAUGUGAGGCUUCUCUCUUGCUGAUAAAUUAGGAUGAUAGGCUGAGCAGAGAAGCUUGACUCUUGUAACAAUCACUUGCUUGGUUUCCACUUCUUUGCGUGACCGAUUUGGCAUCAAAUGCAGCAUAAUCACGUUUUCCCUGUUUGUUUUCAUACCCAAUGCAUCCACUCAUCAGAGCACCCUUUUCCAUGUUUGUUUUUCCUUCUUUUCCUAAUCAAUUAUCAUGUUUACCAUGGUGUGUGACAAUACUGCGUUUCUACUGUUGUUCUUUGUUCCCUUUUGAAGUUCACUGAUUCAAAUCUGAUGUGGAAGGUAGGAAUAUUGAUAUCACUUGUUGUUAGUAUACUAGCCAUGGUGUGUUUUAUUCAAGUUAUUAACCAUAUCUCUUAAAAAUUUGCCUUGAGAUGCUACAUGUUUAUAUGGCAUGAUUGAUUGCUGUUUGUGUAUGGUUAUUAAGAUUGAUUGAUUGCUUGCUUGCUAUUUGUUGAUUGAUUGAUUGAUUGUUGUUUGUUGUUUGUUGAUUGAUUGAUUGUUAUUUGUUGAUUGGUAUCUAACUUUGGUAUUGGUAGUUCCCAAUCAUAGAUAACAGACCUUGCACUAUUCUUUUUUCUGAACUUUUUUGUGAUUAUGUCUUAUGUGGAUAUCAUAUUCUCUUUUUGGUAUUAUGUCCUUGGAAUAAUGCAUUUCUAAGUAUUUAAGGUACAUGACGUAUCACAUUUGCUCUUUAUUGUGUAUCUAAGGACACUGAUGGGUUGAGUUGGCAUAUAACGCAGAUAUUGGCACCUGAUAUUUGCAUGGAUGUUUCCAUGAUGGCUAAUUUGAUUCAUUACUGUUGUUCUGAUGGUGUGCUUCUGGUGUUUUACUGAAGUCGUAGAUCGCUCAUCAACCUGCUGAGCUCUUUCUGGAUAGGACAGAGGUACAAUAUUUACAUCCAUGGCAGAAGGUUCUUAACAAUGAACUCAUCAGAGGUCCUUGGACUCAAGAGGAAGAUGACAAAAUUAUUGUUCUUGUAAGAAAGUAUGGACCAACAAAAUGGUCUCAUUGCAAGGACCUGCAGAAGGAACCUCCCACCUCACGCAGCACAGAAGCAACUUUAUCUUUGGUAAUUGAGGGAGUCCUGGAUUAGGGGGUGUCCGGAUGGCCGGACUAUACUUUCAGCCGGACUCCUGGACUAUGAAGAUACAAGAUUGAAGACUUCGUCCCGUGUCCGGAAGGG